rnacentral:rRNA from 1 species
CUUGACAUCCAGCGAACUUGGCAGAGAUGCCUUGGUGCCUUCGGGAACGCUGAGACAGGUGCUGCAUGGCUGUCGUCAGCUCGUGUUGUGAAAUGUUGGGUUAAGUCCGCAACGAGCGCAACCCUUAUCCUUUGUUGCCAGCGAUUCGGUCGGGAACUCAAAGGAGACUGCCGGUGAUAAACCGGAGGAAGGUGGGGAUGACGUCAAGUCAUCAUGGCCCUUACGAGUAGGGCUACACACGUGCUACAAUGGCGCAUACAAAGAGAAGCGACCUCGCGAGAGCAAGCGGAACCUCAUAAAGUGCGUCGUAGUCCGGAUCGGAGUCUGCAACUCGACUCCGUGAAGUCGGAAUCGCUAGUAAUCGUGGAUCAGAAUGCCACGGUGAAUACGUUCCCGGGCCUUGUACACACCGCCCGUCACACCAUGGGAGUGGGUUGCAAAAGAAGUAGGUAGCUUAACCCUCGGGAGGGCGCUUACCACUUUGUGAUUCAUGACUGGGGUGAAGUCGUAACAAGGUAGGCGUAGACGU